AUUUUCAUGAAUAAUCAUUGUGACAAAUUAUGUCAAGUAUAUAUCAAGUGACAUGUCAUUUUGCUCUGUUACUUUGAGCUGUUGACUUAUUUUUUCCUGUGGCACCAUCAUAUAGAUAGAAUAAUCAAUCUAGAGCAUUAUAUUACAUUAUUGAUGUUAUUGUCAUGUACAGCUUUAACUUUUUUGUAUUUUUGUAUAUUUAGAUCAUGAAACUCAAAUCCAUAUAGUCCUCAUGUUUUAAUCACAGUUAGCCAUUCCAAGCCAUGUUGAUAUUCGUUUGAACCUAUUUUAUGGACAUGCACAACAAAUUAGACACAGAUUAACAAACUGGCAGUCCUUUCCCAAUUGUUAAAUCACAAUUUACUCAUUUGAUUUUUUGUACACUAAACUUAUUGGUUGUGACAUACAUUAUUUUAAAGUCUCUACAGUACCCAAGCAAGGUUGCACAUUUUUAAAUGCGAUACUUUGAUUUCAUUAUAAAAAUUAAAGUAAUAAAGCCCAUUUUUUUUUUACAUUAGCAGACUCUUAGAUUUUCUAUUACAUGUACCAAAAGGACAUUAUGAAAAACAUAUCCUCUGAUGCAGGAAAAACUAGUUUUGUCCGUUUUACAAUAAGUACAGCUCUAAUGUUUCUAAGUAGAAAUUUUUGUCAUUAACAUUUUUACCACAAAAUUUAGGGAUAUCAAACAAAAAUGGAAUUGUUUUGAUUUUUAAAGUCUUUAGCUAUCAUAUAUACAUUAAUACGAAACUCAGAACCUAUCAAAAUAAUUAAAAAGUAAAAAAUCAGUCCUAUCCUUAUCAUGAUUAAACAUUUUGGUGCUCUUUAUACUUGAAGAAGAAACAAAACUAAGUACCAUUUCAUUGUGCUUCCAUUUGACCUUGUUUCACGAUCCUGGGUGUAUAGACCAAUUUGUUGACUUUUUUAUUUUGUUAUUUAUCUGUGAUAUACUGUAUUGUUUACUGUUUUAUUGUCACAGUGUGUAUUUCAAUUUACUUUGUCUUGAUCUGAUCUCCACAAUUCCAUAAAUACAAUGUUAUAUUGAUGCUAUUGUAUCUAGGUGUCUGUUGAGAUUUUUCUCUCCUUUUUAUUCAAUUUUGUGAUUUAUUGAAGAAUGCUGAAAUAUCCAUACUUUUGUUCAUUUCUACUUUAUUGGCCAUUUUUGUUUAUUGCAUUUUGAAAACAGAUUGUUAUUAUACUAGUGAAUAAAAACUAGUUUGUAUCUGUUGAACGUUUGGGAUAUAUACCAAAAUUCACAACUUUAUGAUCCAUGCAUGUAGUCCCUGUGCUUGAGCCAGUAAAUUAGUAGUACUAUAUACCUCAUGUGUUAAUUUUUAUGUGUUAGUUCUUCUUUGCAAUGAGUACUGUUAAAAAAAAAAACUCAACACACAUAAAUAUGCAAUGUACAUUAUACAAUUCAAGAGUUGUCAAUCAUUUUACAGAAUAGUCAAAACGCUGGCAGUUUAUGUAAUCAUGAAUGACAAGCGUAUUUCUUCACUGUGACCACGUGUCUAUCAUUCUUCCUUUUCAGACAUAUUAGUUCUUCAUUCUGACUUCACCCUACCUUACAAUUGUGAUAUCGUACACUGACUUGUAUACAAUUUACCACUUCAGUCUUCACCAUGGCAACAACGAGGCUGUGCUUCUGUCUGGUUCCCACUCAUAUUCCCCCGUGUCUGUCUGGUACCCACUCACUCCUCAUGUUUUGUGAUUUAAGUGUUAAUUGUUUGAUCAACGUUUCAUGUGAUUUACCCAUUUCUUUCAAAGAUAUUUAUAUCAAUACCAGUUUAUACAUAUUUCCAGUUGUACUAUGGUGUUUCGUCAUCAUGUUUUACCUUUGACCUUUCAGAGGUCAGACUAUGGAAUUUGUUACGAAUUGUCUUGUUUUACUGAUACUAUAUGUAGACAUCAUAAAUAAUUAUAAUAAAACUACUGUUCACAACGUU
rnacentral:sRNA from 1 species